UGGGGAAUAUUGCACAAUGGGCGCAAGCCUGAUGCAGCCAUGCCGCGUGUGUGAAGAAGGCCUUCGGGUUGUAAAGCACUUUCAGCGAGGAGGAAGGUGGUGAACUUAAUACGUUCAUCAAUUGACGUUACUCGCAGAAGAAGCACCGGCUAACUCCGUGCCAGCAGCCGCGGUAAUACGGAGGGUGCAAGCGUUAAUCGGAAUUACUGGGCGUAAAGCGCACGCAGGCGGUUUGUUAAGUCAGAUGUGAAAUCCCCCGGGCUCAACCUGGGAACUGCAUUUGAAACUGGCAAGCUAGAGUCUCGUAGAGGGGGGUAGAAUUCCAGGUGUAGCGGUGAAAUGCGUAGAGAUCUGGAGGAAUACCGGUGGCGAAGGCGGCCCCCCUGGACGAAGACUGACGCUCAGGUGCGAAAGCGUGGGGCAGCAAACAGGAUUAGAUACCCUGGCAGUCCA
rnacentral:rRNA from 1 species